UCCUAUCUUGCAUAUGGAAUUCCCUGACUC
rnacentral:piRNA from 1 species